rnacentral:tRNA from 1 species
GUCGUCGUGACGGAAUGGCAUACGUGACAGGCUGAGGUCCUGUGCCCGAAAGGGUAUGUGGGUUCGAGUCCCACCGACGACACCA